UUGUUAUAAUUUAAAUGUCACUAGGGAGUAGCUUCUCUUCUCUACAGAAGAUGGCUUACAUCAACAUACUUGAGCUUAGGCUUAUGGUGUAAGCGGUUUAAAUACUUGGCAAGACUUUUGACUACAAACACUUACUUAGGCUGUGGGUGCGUUGUAGUCAUUUGUUUAUGUCACAGCCUAGAGGACU
rnacentral:sRNA from 1 species